rnacentral:rRNA from 1 species
GAUGAACGCUGACAGAAUGCUUAACACAUGCAAGUCGAUGGGGAAGUGGUGCUUGCACCAUGGCAACCAUGGCGGACGGGUGAGUAACGCGUAAGGGACUUACCUGCAGGACUGGGAUAACAGGGGGAAACUCCUGACAAGACCGGAUAAUGUCAUGGAGCUGCAUGGCUUUAUGAUGAAAGGAGACGCCUGCGGAGAGCCUUGCGUCCUAUUAGCUAGUUGGUGAGGUAAUGGCUCACCAAGGCGAAGAUAGGUAGCCGGCCUGAGAGGGUGGACGGCCACAAGGGGACUGAGAUACGGCCCUUACUCCUACGGGAGGCAGCAGUGGGGAAUAUUGGACAAUGGGGGCAACCCUGAUCCAGCAGUUCUGUGUGCACGAAGAAGGUUUUCGGAUUGUAAAGUGCUUUCAGCAGGGAAGAAGUAAGUGACGGUACCUGCAGAAGAAGCGACGGCUAAAUACGUG